AGCGUUGAAACACUGGUUCUCAUCCGAUCACCAAAGUUAAGCAAUGUCAAACUUGGUCAGUACCUAGAUGGGUGACUACUUGGUAGGACCAGAUGC